AACGCGAAGAACCUUACCUACCCUUGACAUGUACGGAAUGCUGAAGAGAUUUGGCAGUGCUCGAAAGAGAACCGUAACACAGGUGCUGCAUGGCUGUCGUCAGCUCGUGUCGUGAGAUGUUGGGUUAAGUCCCGCAACGAGCGCAACCCUUGUCAUUAGUUGCUACGAAAGGGCACUCUAAUGAGACUGCCGGUGACAAACCGGAGGAAGGUGGGGAUGACGUCAAGUCCUCAUGGCCCUUAUGGGUAGGGCUUCACACGUCAUACAAUGGUACAUACAGAGGGCCGCCAACCCGCGAGGGGGAGCUAAUCCCAGAAAGUGUAUCGUAGUCCGGAUUGUAGUCUGCAACUCGACUACAUGAAGUUGGAAUCGCUAGUAAUCGCGGAUCAGCAUGUCGCGGUGAAUACG
rnacentral:rRNA from 1 species